rnacentral:rRNA from 1 species
UGCCCCGCGAGGGGAGCCCUAGCACAGGUGCUGCAUGGCCGUCGUCAGCUCGUGCCGUGAGGUGUUGGGUUAAGUCCCGCUAACGAGCGCAACCCCCGCCGUUAGUUGCCAGCGGUUCGGCCGGGCACUCUAACGGGACUGCCCGCGAAAGCGGGAGGAAGGAGGGGACGACGUCUGGUCAGCAUGGCCCUUACGGCCUGGGCGACACACGUGCUACAAUGCCCACUACAAAGCGAUGCCACCCGGCAACGGGAGCUAAUCGCAAAAAGGUGGGCCCAGUUCGGAUUGGGGUCUGCAACCCGACCCCAUGAAGCCGGAAUCGCUAGUAAUCGCGGAUCAGCCAUGCCGCGGUGAAUACGUUCCCGGCCGUU